UUUCCGUAGGUGAACCCGCGGAAGGAUCAUUACUGAGUGAGGGCCCUCUGGGUCCCACCUCCCACCCGUGUUUGUUAUGCCUGGUUGUUUCGGUGAGCCCGCCGCACGGCCGCCGGGGGGCACCUGCCCCCGGGCCCGCGCCCAGCGAAGACACCUAGAACUCUGUAUGAAGAUUGCAGUCUGAGCAAAAACUAAAUAAGUUAAAACUUUCAACAACGGAUCUCUUGGUUCCG
rnacentral:misc_RNA from 1 species